GGGACAGGGGCGCGGGGCAGGGGGUCGCUCACCGGGCUCCGGUGCGUCCUCUCUCCGCCGCCGCCGCCGCCGCCGACUGGCACUCGGACUCGGGCCCAGGCAGAUUUGCGUGAUCAGACGCUACAGAAUGAAUCUUGGCGGAGGGGUCCCUGCCGGGGCUCCAAGGGAACCACGUGUCGACAGGCAGAACCUUCAGCUUCCUGACGUCUGGAGCUCACUGUUGGCAGCAAACAGGCAUUGAAUGGACCGUGAUGGAUCCAGGACUGGGAGAGAAUUUGACCAGAGCCCUGUGUACAUCAGGGCCUACAUAGGUUGAUGGCUGCCUGAUUUCAGUUUGGUUCAGUUCUGUAAUAGGAAUUUCAGCUGUGGAGUCAGAAUGCAAGGCCUCUUGAGAAAGAUGUACAUUUACUUCUGAGAAAGCAUGAAGAUUUAGGUUGUUGUUUAACCUGAGUGUCCAGAGGUAAAAAUCUUGUGGCUGUUGUGAAAAAUGUAGUGUUAUAUUAAGUUUUGGUUAUUAAGGUUUUAACUUUGUAGCCUUCCUGUCUGGAGAAAUAAAAUCCUUUAAAUGAAAA
ensembl:lncRNA